CAAAAAAUAGUUUAUGUAAAACAAUAGACUUGGGUUCUAUAAAAAAUUGUUAUUUUUUUUGA
rnacentral:tRNA from 1 species